rnacentral:rRNA from 1 species
GUAGGUGGCAAGCGUUGUCCGGAAUUAUUGGGCGUAAAGCGCGCGCAGGCGGUUCUUUAAGUCUGAUGUGAAAGCCCACGGCUCAACCGUGGAGGGUCAUUGGAAACUGGAGAACUUGAGUACAGAAGAGGAAAGCGGAAUUCCACGUGUAGCGGUGAAAUGCGUAGAGAUGUGGAGGAACACCAGUGGCGAAGGCGGCUUUCUGGUCUGUAACUGGCGCUGAGGCGCGAAAGCGUGGGGAGCAAACAGGGAUUAGAUACCCUGGUAGUCCACGCCGUAAACGAUGAGUGCUAAGUGUUAGGGGGUUUCCGCCCCCUUAGUGCUGCAGCUAACGCAUUAAGCACUCCGCCUGGGGAGUACGGCCGCAAAGCUG